rnacentral:rRNA from 1 species
AGGCCUAACACAUGCAAGUCGAGCGAUGACUUCGGUCCUAGCGGCGGACGGGUGAGUAACGCGUGGGAACGUGCCCUUCACUACGGAAUAGUCCCGGGAAACUGGGUUUAAUACCGUAUACGCCCUUCGGGGGACAGAAUUCGGUGAAUGAUCGGGCCGCGUCUGAUUAGGUACUUGGUGGGGUAACGGUCUACCAAGCCUACGAUCAGUAUCUGGGUUUGAGAGGAUGAUCAGCCACUCUGGGACUGAGACACUGACCAGACUCCUACGGUAUGCAACAGUGGGGAAUCUUAGACAAUGGGGGCAACCCUGAUCUAUCCAUGCCGCGUGAGUGACGAAUGCCCUACGGUCGUAAAUGCUCUUUCACCAGGGAAGAUAAUGACGGUACGCUGGAGAAGAAAACCCGGGUAAUCUCCGUGUCCAGCAGACUGCGGUAAUACGGAGGGGGUUAGCGUUGUUCGGCGAUUACUGGGCGUAAAGCGCGCGUAGGCGGACUGCUAAGUCAGGGCGUGAAAUCCCGGGGCUCAAGCCCGGAACUGCCCUUGAUACUG